rnacentral:rRNA from 1 species
UUUAGAGGAACCUGCCCUGUAAACGAUGAACCACGAAUUAUUUUACUUUUUCUUGAAAUUCAGUUUGUAUACCGCUGUUGUCAGUUAGUUUCUUUAGAAAACUUUCAUUAAUGAUAAAUUCAAUGACUUCAAGUAAAGGUGCAGCUUAUGAAAAAGAUAGAGGUGGGUUACAUUUAAUAGAAUAAUACGAAUAAAGUUAUUGAAAUAAACUUUUUAAGGUGGAUUUAAUUGUAAAGUUUAAUUAAACUUGAUGUGAGC